AGCACAUUAUCAGCUAAAGGGAGUGUCUCGAAUAUUUUCAACGGGUCGGCAUACCUGUCAAACUUAUCUUUUAUAUUUCAUUAUUUUCGAAAUAUAAUCAUGGAUCCGGCUGUCUUCCCCGAGGAAAUAUGGAUUAAAAUUCUUUUAUACUGCGACGUGCCUGACAUUAUUGCCUUCGGGAGCACAUGUAAAUACCUCAGGAAAACAUCGGACACCGAUUACUUGUGGAAAAUCAAAUGGCUGCAGCUCAUAUCCAAAGUACAAUUCAAAUUUCCUGACAUGAAAUGUCUCCAGUUACUAAGCGUUAGUUUUAAGGCGAUGUGCUACCGACUUCACAUGGUAGUGACGCUGGGGGAGAGCGUUCCAUUCCCUAAGUGCUACCACUGCAGUGGUUACACGUGUCAAAGGAACUGCGUCGAAGGUUCGAGUUCAAAGGUGGUCAUUGAAAUCGGAAACAAAUACACAUGGGUCAUAACACCUCAUUUCGGUCUAAGACGGCAUUUCUCUAUGUUUGGCAUACCGAAAUGCAACACAGCUAACGCAGAGGUGCAAACACAGGCGCCGAGCAUAGCGAGUAGUAGCAGCAGGUUAAAAACGGAUGCAAAAUCAAUUGCCAAAAAGCUGAAACUGUUGAGGCUAUCCGAGCUAGCAACGGCAAAAAUUCCACGACCCAGUGGACCGUUUUGCGUAUUUUGCAAUCCAGUAAAAUUGUAUCGUGAGAAAAAACGACUCGCAUCGCACCAGAAUGAUGUACAAAAAUACUCUAGUACAAAUCCUAUUUAUCAAAAAUUAUUGAAUGGAUAUUGCGCCGAUACCGUGGAGGUUCUCGGCAUUCCUAACGUCGAUGUUGUUAGUCCGGCGGAAGCCCUCCUAAGCGACGGAACUUUUCCGGUACUAAAGACUUUUGUCGAUCACUUGUUUCAUCAGAUGGGUUUAACGGCGACGUUGAGAAAACCAAACGCUGUACUUAUGUUCUGCGAACCACUCGCCAUGCAUCCGUUACUCAGAAAACAGCUACUUCAUUACUUAUUUCAAGAGGUCAAAGUUGCCAGGGUAUGUUUAGUUCCAAAACCCUUGGCUGCUUGCGCAAUGCUCGAUGUAGAGACUUGCGUUGUAGUAGACAGCGGCGCUCUGAGUACAACAGUUGCUGUCGUCAUCGGAGGAAGGGUGAUGCCUGAUCGGUGGCGUCUAUUACCUGUCGGUGGAUAUCAUGUAGCCCAUCAUUUGAAACAAGCGAUGCAUUGGCAGCCAAAAGAAUACCAUCAAAUUCCUGUUUCUUAUCUGGACACUAUGGCUGUUAAGGAGAGAUGCAGAUUGAGCUAUAACAUCGAAAAUGAAGAGCGGAAAAGAGGGCCAACCAGAAGAGAACACAUUAAUCUUAGGGUCGAUAGUUAUGCAGAUUACAAACAGUUUUGGAGAGUAUCGCUGGGUUCUGAACUGUACAUCGCACCUGAGAUGAUGUACGUUAGCCUCGGGCUGCCCGAAGUGAUAAAGGAAGUGACUAUGGGCCUUUCGGAAGAGUUGACCCAGGAUUGUCUCUCCCAUAUUCUGUUGACCGGAGGUAACACUGAUUUGUCGGGAUUUGAGCUCAGGCUAUCUAAAGAUUUGCGUGAACUACUUCCGGAGCACAGUCCAAUCUUGGAGGUCAGAAGUUGCCCAGGAACUCACAGUUGGAAUGUCGCUAUGGGAUCAACUUACGUACCUUUGGCCGUACAUCCUGACAAAACGCCACCAGAAUAUGUGGAAGGGAAUCCGUUCUGGUUAUCGCGGGAAGAGUACGUCUUAUUUGGAUGCGAAUCGCUUGAAUAGUAAGAAAGUAGUAAAUAGGAGAUAGAUAUCAAUGAUGAAUGAUUAAAAUCAUGAAUACUAGUACCUUAGCAAUGAUUAUGCAAAUUAGCAAACCAGUACAUAUGUCAAGACGUAAUAUCAGGAAGAGAAAUGUUACCAGUGUCAAGUAUAUUCUAUUCCUAUAUUGUCUAUCAACUCGCAAGCUUCUCCGCUCAUGAUACCUGCAGGAACUUCAGAAUUUCUUAUUUCACCAGGUUCUAAAUUCGAGAUUCAAUUAAAAAUUGAUAAUAUUAUAACUAGAUGAAAUUGAGAAUCUGAACUGAUUGAAAUGUCGAAUGAAUGGUUUCACUGCCUUAUUUCACUAUGGUAAAUUUAUUAUUUAUGUAUCUCUAGCAAGUGUUCAAUACGAUAUUACAUGACAGAAGGCUAGAAGAUGUUACUGAUGUUAAAAAUUUACCAAUGAAAAUUUUGAAACUUUAACUACUUGGUAAAGUUUUCUACGCGCAAUAAAUAAUUUCAGUUCAAUAUAUGACUUCGUCUCUUAUCUCUCAGCUAUAUUGGAUUUUUUUAAUUCGCAUCCAAGAAUGAUACGGAAAGUUGAAAGUUUAAUUAGAACA